rnacentral:lncRNA from 1 species
GAACUUAUCCCUUUUCUUUACCUCCUGCGCUUCUAGCCUCACCACUACCUCAUUCUCUCGCCUUACGUCAUUAAACUUACAUUCCACAUACUCUGUCAAGUUACAUUCCACAUACUCUGUCUUGGUUCUGCUCACCCUGAACCCUUUAGACUCCAGAGUUUGCCUCCACAGCUGCGUCUCAUCUAUCAGGACUACAUCGUCUGCAAAAAGCAUACACCACGGCACCUCCCCUUGGAUAC